GUUCGUCUCUGGACGAGACUUUCGGCUGCCGAAGGUGCCGCCGAACAUGCAUGAGUUUUGUCUCUGGAGAGGGGUUUCGGCCGCCGAACAUGCCGCCGAAAGUGCCCUGUCCAGCUUUCUUUUGCAUGUUUUAUGUGAUUGUUUUAGGAUCUUUUAGAGGGCUUUUGGGGAGUUUCUUAGAGCGGUUCUUGAGUUAGUUUGGUCCCUCAUUUGAGUCCACCUGUGUAGGAACGGACCAGAGGAAUCAGGGAAGUCAGCAGUGAGCACAGGUUCAGAACCUGCAGAGGUAGUCCAGAGUCAGCCAGAGGUGAGUGGAACUUCUCUUUUCAGAACUAAAAUGCUUUUAGCAUGUUGCAUGCAUCAUGAUGACUAUAGUAGGUUGAUUGCACUAGUUUCACGAAGAUGGCGCAUUGCAUUGCAUAAUACGAUGUAUAUGAUGAGAUGGAUGGACCAAGG
rnacentral:lncRNA from 1 species